UUUCCCACACUGUUCUCGGACACCCUGGUUAGUGUCCUGUGAGUUAUGGGUUAUGAGAUAAAGAAAAGCAAACAGGUCCUGUAGGCAGAAUUGAAACCUGAAUAUGCUAAUAUUUAUUGCACAGUUCCAACAAACAGCAGCUGUCAUCCUUCUGACUUCACAAACCAAUAAAAAAAUUUUAUAUCUUUAGAGAACUCAGGAUUACAAACUUUUUUAUUUUACUAAAUAAGAACAUACCGUAGAGAAAAGGACAUGAAGGUUUAAGGAACAAUUUAAGGUUGAAAAAAAAUUGGUGAAGUCCCCAUCCUGUCCUUUUCUUUCCUAUUUUGCCACAGGCUGGCACCCGCCCUCCACCAGUCAUUCAGGAAAUGUGGGGGCUCCUGGUGCUCAAGUCCCCUUGAGCUUGGCUCCAGGUCUGCAGGACACACCAGCCCUCACCACUGCUGAGUCAAGAUGGGGGUCUCCCCUCACUCCCUUCCCCCCUCAUUUCUACUGACUCACUCUCACUGGUGACUGGGUAGAAAAGUUGCAGAACAUUGAUUUAGAUCAUCAUAUUUAUAUGAUCUUCUUCAUUUCCUUUCCUUUAACUCACAUGGAUUUUUUAAAACAAAAUUUACUUACUAAAACUCCUUCAUAGUACAAAGCUAUUUUAUUUGGACAAAGUUGGUUCCAGGCACAGAAAAGCUUGAUAUUCACUUCCAGUCACCCCAACCUCAAGCACUUGGUAAUUACAGUCAAAAGAUCAGAAACUCUCACUGGAGAAAUACAUGGACCCUGUUUACAAUAUUUUUAUAUGUGGAACACAAACAUAUACAAGCAGCUUCUGAGAAUACUUGUACAUUACAUGAAAAGCAAAAAUAGUAUCAUGCUUUAAAAUGUUUCUCAAAAAAUAAUUUCAAACGACCAGGCUUUAAAUAAUUAGGCCAUUGAAUUUUUAUUAGAGGAAGAGUCAGAAAAUGAUUGUAGACUAUAUCCUUUUACACAAUGCACAUUUGUAGGAUUUCUAAAAGGCAAUAUACAUAAAAGAGAAAUUUUAGAAUAAUAUCCUGUUUUCAAUAUGUCAGGGUAAUUUGCUAAUAUGUUUUUAAGAGUUAUGUUAGUUUUUAUUUUUUUAAAGUAAUACAUACCUGGAUAGUCAAUGAGGGUUCAAUGCAGGUUCAUGUGGGACCGCAAAUUUGCCCUAUUUUUUGAUGAAUCUUGCUUUCAAAAUCUUAUUAUAACAUGACCACUUUCUCUGUACAUGAUAGGUUUUACUGGCAUCUGGGGGUCAUACACGGGUCUCUUCAACUACCUCCUUAACUCAGAACUCCAGAAGACAGCGAGCUCCAGAGAGGCCAGUGUUGGGUCUU
rnacentral:lncRNA from 1 species